CCCUUAGAUGUUCUGGGCCGCACGCGUGCUACACUGAGUGGAUCAGCGGGUCAGGUUGCGCGAAAGUGUUUCCUAAUCUUUAAAUCCGCUCGUGAUGGGGAUUGACGGUUGCAAUUUUCCGUCAUGAACGAGGAAUACCUUGUAAGCGCGGGUCAUCAUCCCGCGCUGAAUACGUCCCUGCCCUUUGUACACACCGCCCGUCGCUCCUACCGAUUGAGUGAUCCGGUGAGUCCUUUAGAGUGUGUUGCAUUUAGUUUCUAUCCGUGACGUGUGAAGUUGAACAAACCUUAUCACUUAGAGGAAGGAGAAGUCGUAACA
rnacentral:rRNA from 1 species